AGCGAACGCUGGCGGCGUGCUUAACACAUGCAAGUCGAACGGUGAACGAGGGAGCUUGCUCCCUCCGGAUCAGUGGCGAACGGGUGAGUAACACGUGAGCAAUCUGCCCCGAACUCUGGGAUAAGCGCUGGAAACGGCGUCUAAUGCCGGAUACGACGCGGGAGGGCAUCCUCUCCGCGUGGAAAGAACUUCGGUUCGGGAUGAGCUCGCGGCCUAUCAGCUUGUUGGUGAGGUAACGGCUCACCAAGGCGACGACGGGUAGCCGGCCUGAGAGGGUGACCGGCCACACUGGGACUGAGACACGGCCCAGACUCCUACGGGAGGCAGCAGUGGGGAAUAUUGCACAAUGGGCGCAAGCCUGAUGCAGCAACGCCGCGUGAGGGACGACGGCCUUCGGGUUGUAAACCUCUUUUAGUAGGGAAGAAGCGUAAGUGACGGUACCUGCAGAAAAAGCACCGGCUAACUACGUGCCAGCCGCCGCCGUAAAAC
rnacentral:rRNA from 1 species